CGCGAAUCGCCCUUCGGGGUGCACCAGGCGCGAAAACUUUACAAUGCGGGAAACCGUGAUAAGGGGACACCGAGUGCCAGCAUCAUAUGCUGGCUGUCCAGGUGUGUAAAAUACACCUGUUAGCAAGGGCCGGGCAAGACCGGUGCCAGCCGCCGCGGUAACACCGGCGGCCCGAGUGGUGAUCGUGAUUAUUGGGUCUAAAGGGUCCGUAGCCGGUUUGGUCAGUCCUCCGGGAAAUCUGAUAGCUUAACUAUUAGGCUUUCGGAGGAUACUGCCAGACUUGGAACCGGGAGAGGUAAGAGGUACUACAGGGGUAGGAGUGAAAUCUUGUAAUCCCUGUGGGACCACCUGUGGCGAAGGCGUCUUACCAGAACGGGUUCGACGGUGAGGGACGAAAGCUGGGGGCACGAACCGGAUUAGAUACCCGGGUAGUCCCAGCCGUAAACGAUGCUCGCUAGGUGUCAGGCAUGGCGCGACCGUGUCUGGUGCCGCAGGGAAGCCGUGAAGCGAGCCACCUGGGAAGUACGGCCGCAAGGCUGAAACUUAAAGGAAUUGGCGGGGGAGCAC
rnacentral:rRNA from 1 species